GCGAACCGGGGGAACUGAAACAUCUAAGUACCCCGAGGAAAAGAAAUCAACCGAGAUUCCCCCAGUAGCGGCGAGCGAACGGGGAGCAGCCCAGAGUCUGAAUCAGCUUGUGUGUUAGUGGAACGGUCUGGAAAGUCCGACGGUACAGGGUGAUAGUCCCGUACACCAAAAUGCACAGGCUGUGAACUCGAAGAGUAGGGCGGGACACGUGGUAUCCUGUCUGAAUAUGGGGGGACCAUCCUCCAAGGCUAAAUACUCCUGACUGACCGAUAGUGAACCAGUACCGUGAGGGAAAGGCGAAAAGAACCCCGGCGAGGGGAGUGAAAAAGAACCUGAAACCGUGUACGUACAAGCAGUGGGAGCACCUU
rnacentral:rRNA from 1 species